rnacentral:tmRNA from 1 species
AAUCUUUUUUUUAACCCCCUGAGGCCCUAUAUUGCAGGUGCCGGAUUCGUCCGGCUAUGGCGAUAAAUGGUCACCGUAAUAAGCUCAUCGGACCCGGGGGCAGUACCCGGCGCCUCCACCACAUGCCGCCGUCCACGGCGGUAUCUGAUGGGGGCGAAAUAGGAUCGACGAGGGUGUAAAGGGUGCGCUUUUGCCCGGCAUGAUACCACCGUUAUCGGGUCAAUCAGAAUAGUUGCCAAUGACAACUAUGCUGAGGCUGCUCUCGCUGCGUAAUGCAGUUGGAUUAGCCUGAACUUGAAGCCCUGGCGUCUAGCAACGUCAGGCGCGGUUCGGAGGGCACCGGGCAACAGAAGCCCUCCACU